AGCAUAUCAAUAAGCGGAGGAAAAGAAACUAACAAGGAUUCCCCUAGUAACUGCGAGUGAAGCGGGAAAAGCUCAAAUUUAAAAUCUGGCGGUCUUCGGCCGUCCGAGUUGUAGUCUGGAGAAGUGCUUUCCGCGCUGGACCGUGUAUAAGUCUCUUGGAACAGAGCGUCAUAGAGGGUGAGAAUCCCGUCUUUGACACGGACUACCAGKGCUUUGUGAUGCGCUCUCAAAGAGUCGAGUUGUUUGGGAAUGCAGCUCAAAAUGGGUGGUGAAUUCCAUCUAAAGCUAAAUAUUGGCGAGAGACCGAUAGCGAACAAGUACCGUGAGGGAAAGAUGAAAAGCACUUUGGAAAGAGAGUUAAACAGUACGUGAAAUUGCUGAAAGGGAAACGCUUGAAGUCAGUCGCGUCGUCCGGAACUCAGCCUUGCUUUCGCUUGGUGCACUUUCCGGAUGACGGGUCAGCAUCGAUUUUGACCGUCGGAAAAGGGCUGGAGUAAUGUGGCACCUCCGGGUGUGUUAUAGACUCUAGUCGCAUACGGCGGUUGGGAUCGAGGAACGCAGCGCGCCGCAAGGCAGGGGUUCGCCCACUUUCGCGCUUAGGAUGCUGGCAUAAUGGCUUUAAACGACCCGUCUUGAAACACGGACCAAGGAGUCUAACAUACCUGCGAGUGUUUGGGUGGAAAACCCGAGCGCGUAAUGAAAGUGAAAGUUGAGACCUCUGUCGUGGAGGGCAUCGACGCCCGGACCUGACGUUCUCUGAAGGAUCCGCGGUAGAGCAUGUAUGUUGGGACCCGAAAGAUGGUGAACUAUGCCUGAAUAGGGUGAAGCCAGAGGAAACUCUGGUGGAGGCUCGUAGCGAUUCUGACGUGCAAAUCGAUCGUCAAAUUUGGGUAUAGGGGCGAAAGACUAAUCGAACCAUC
rnacentral:rRNA from 1 species